rnacentral:lncRNA from 1 species
GUUUGCUGGUCUGUGCCUCCGUUCGUACGUCCGUCCGUCCGUCUGUGCCUCCGUUCGUCCGUCCGCUUCAGGUUAAAGUUUUUGGUCAAGGUAGUUUUUGAAGAAGUUGAAGUCCAAUCAACUUGAAACUUAGUAACUUGUUUCCCCAUGAUAUGAUCUUUCUAAUUUUAAUGCCAAAUUAUAGUUUUGACCCCAAUUUCAUGGUCCACUGAACAUAGAAAAUGAUAGUGCGAAGUUCAGGUUAAAGUUUUUGGUCAAGGUAGUUUUUGAUGAAGUUUAAGUUACAUCAACUUGAAACUUAGUACACAUGUUCCCUAUGAUAUGAUCUUUCUAAUUUUAAUUCCAAAUUAAAGUUUUGACCCCAAUUUCACGGUCCACUGAACAUAGAAAAUGAUAGUGCGAGUGGGGCAUUCGUGUCCUAUGGACACAUUCUUGUUUU